rnacentral:rRNA from 1 species
AACCAGCUCUUCAAGUGGUCGGGAUAAUUAUUGGGCUUAAAGUGUCCGUAGCUGGUAGGGUAAGUUCCUGGUAAAAUUGGGCAGCUUAACUGUCCUUAUGCUAGGAAUACUACUCUACUAGAGGGCGGGAGAAGUCUGAGGUACUACAGGGGUAGGGGUGAAAUCUUAUAAUCCUUGUAGGACCACCAGUGGCGAAAGCGUCAGACCGGAACGCGCCUGACAGUGAGGGACGAGAGCCAGGGGAGCGAACCGGAUUAGAUACCCGGGUAGUCCUGGCCGUAAACGAUGCGCACUAGGUGAUGGUGCGGCUAUGAGCCGCAUCAGUGUCGUAGGGAAACCGUUAAGUGUGCCGCCUGGGAAGUACGGUCGCAAGGCUUAAACUUAAAGGAAUUGGCGGGGGAGCACCACAAGGGGUGAAGCCUGCGGUUC